GACGAACGCUGGCGGCGUGCCUAAUACAUGCCAGUAGAACGCUGAAGAGAGGAGCUUACUCUUCUUGGAUGAGUUGCGAACGGGUGAGUAACGCGUAGGUAACCUGCCUUGUAGCGGGGGAUAACUAUUGGAAACGAUAGCUAAUACCGCAUAACAAUGGAUGACACAUGUCAUUUAUUUGAAAGGGGCAAUUGCUCCACUACAAGAUGGACCUGCGUUGUAUUAGCUAGUAGGUGAGGUAAUGGCUCACCUAGGCGACGAUACAUAGCCGACCUGAGAGGGUGAUCGGCCACACUGGGACUGAGACACGGCCCAGACUCCUACGGGAGGCAGCAGUAGGGAAUCUUCGGCAAUGGGGGCAACCCUGACCGAGCUACGCCGCGUGAGUGAAGAAGGUUUUCGGAUCGUAAAGCUCUGUUGUAAGUCAAGAACGGGUGUGAGAGUGGAAAGUUCACACUGUGACGGUAGCUUACCAGAAAGGGACGGCUAACUACGUG
rnacentral:rRNA from 1 species